GGUCGCUUAGCUCAGUUGGUUAGAGCGUAAGUUAACCGAUAUUACCUCUCUUUACCUCGACUAAUUAUGUCAUCAGGUGGUGCUAAUAACGCCAAGGUCGCGAGUUCGACCCUCGUAGUGACCA